rnacentral:rRNA from 1 species
AUUGAACGCUGGCGGCAGGCCUAACACAUGCAAGUCGAACGAGUGGCGGACGGGUGAGUAAUGUCUGGGAAACUGCCUGAUGGAGGGGGAUAACUACUGGAAACGGUAGCUAAUACCGCAUACCAUCAGAUGUGCCCAGCUGGGAUUAGCUAGUUGGUGGGGUAACGGCUCACCAAGGCGAUGAUCCCUAGCUGGUCUGAGAGGCGGACCAGCCACACUGGAACUGAGACACGGUCCAGACUCCGACGGGAGGCAGCAGUGGGGAAUAUUGCACAAGGGGCGCAAGCCUGAUGCAGCCAUGCAGCGGGUAUGAAGAAGGCCUUCGGGUUGUAAAGUACUUUCGGCGGGGAGGCGUUACCCGAAGAAGAAGCACCGGCUAACUCCGUGCCAGCAGCCGCGGUAAUUC